rnacentral:rRNA from 1 species
UACGGAGGGUGCAAGCGUUAUCCGGAUUCACUGGGUUUAAAGGGUGCGUAGGUGGGCAGGUAAGUCAGUGGUGAAAUCUCCGGGCUUAACCCGGAAACUGCCGUUGAUACUAUCUGCCUUGAAUAUCGUGGAGAUGAGCGGAAUAUGUCAUGUAGCGGUGAAAUGCGUAGAUAUGACAUAGAAUACCGAUGGCGAAGGCAGCGCGUUAGACGGUUAUUGACACUGAGGCGCGAAAGCGUGGGGAGCAAACAGG